GUGCCAGCAGCCGCGGUAAUACGGAAGGGGCGAGCGUUGUUCGGAAUUAUUGGGCGUAAAGGGCGUGUAGGCGGCUUCAUAUGUCCGUGGUGAAAGCAUACGGCUCAACCGUAUUAAGCCUUGGAAACUGUGGAGCUUGAGGCUGGGAGGGGCUGGUGGAAUUCCCUGUGUAGCGGUGAAAUGCGUAGAGAUGGGGGAGAACACUCGUGGCGAAGGCGGCCAGCUGGACCAGUACUGACGCUGAGACGCGAAAGCGUGGGGAGCAAACAGGAUUAGAUACCCGCGUAGUCC
rnacentral:rRNA from 1 species